UGAUUUUAAUUUUUUCGUCGC
ensembl:piRNA 21ur-2042 ncRNA